rnacentral:rRNA from 1 species
GAUGAACGCUGGCUACAGGCUUAACACAUGCAAGUCGUGGGGAAACGGCAUUAUGUGCUUGCACAUUCUGGACGUCGACCGGCGCACGGGUGAGUAUCGCGUAUCCAACCUGCCCCUUACUUGGGGAUACCCCGUCGAAAGACGGCCUAAUACCCGAUGUGUUUCAUUGACGGCAUCCGAUAUGAAACAAAGGUUUUCCGGUAAGGGAUGGGGGUGCGUCUGAUUAGCUUGUUGGCGGGGCAACGGCCCACCAAGGCGACGAUCAGUAGGGGUUCUGAGAGGAAGGUCCCCCACAUUGGAACUGAGACACGGUCCAAACUCCUACGGGAGGCAGCAGUGAGGAAUAUUGGUCAAUGGACGCAAGUCUGAACCAGCCAAGUAGCGUGCAGGAUGACGGCCCUAUGGGUUGUAAACUGCUUUUAUGUGGGAAUAAAGUGGCGCACGUGUGCGCCGUUGCAUGUACCUCAUGAAUAAGGACCGGCU